rnacentral:rRNA from 1 species
UACGUAGGGUGCAAGCGUUAAGUCGGAAUUACUGGGCGUAAAGCGUGCGCAGGCGGUGAUGUAAUGACAGUUGUGAAAUCCCCGGGCUCCAACCUGGGAACUGACAUCUGUGACUGCAUCGCUGGAGUGCGGCAGAGGGGGGAUGGAAUUCCGGCGUGUAGCAGUGAAAUGCGUAGAUAUGCGGAGGAACACCGAUGGCGAAGGCAACUCCCCGUGGGCCU